rnacentral:lncRNA from 1 species
UAAACUUGGACUUUAUGGAUUACAUGGGUUUCUGUUAUCCCCUCCAAGUGGUUUUAACAUAUGUUUUAAAGCCAACCUAGAGCAUGUGCAAUUUAUUUAAAAAUUUUUAAUGAUAGCUGUCCAACUAUUAUCUGUCUCUCAGCAAAUAUAUCUCAAUUCACUUCCUUUUUUUUUUUUUUUUUUUGAGAUAGGGUCUUGCUCUGUUGCUCAGGCUGAAGUACAGUGUUGAAAUCUUGGUUUACUGCAACCUCUACCUCCCUGGUUCAAGCAAUUCUCAUGCUCCAGCCUCUUGAGUAGGUGUGAUUACAGAUGCAUGCCACCCUGCCCGACUAAUUUUUGUAUUUUUAGCAGAUAUGGGGGUUUCAUCAUGUUGUCCAGGCUGGUCUUGAACUCCUGGCUAGAAGUGAUCCACCAAAUUGCCUCCCAAAUUGCUGGGCUUACAAGCGUUAGUCACUGCUCCCGGCCUCAAUUCACUUGUCAAAAGUGUUCAUGAUGUUAAGAGCCCCGGCUGUCAGAGAAUUGUGUGUUUCCUCUGUGGGUGCUUUCUAUUCUUGAAACUAACUGAACUGCUGAAGUUCCCACAGAAGAAUCCAGAAGAACUGAUGCUGUGAAUGAGCUUUAACGUUUUGGGUAGUACCUGGGGUGGCAAAGUGAGCAAUAAUUUUUAAAUAUUAAAACUAUGUUUGUGAUUUCUAGUAUAUUCUCUGAAAAAUGUAGCAUUUUUUUUAACUAUUUCACAUAAAAUAUUGUGAUAUUGGUAAUAACUACAUCUGUAGAGCCUGUGCCACACCAGGUGCUUCACAUGUAAUUCUCACAAUGACACUACUGUUUACAUUUUUGCAUUGGGGAAACUGAGGCUUAAGAGUAGUAGUAACUCAGCUAAUUUCACCCAACUCGAGAGGACCGAGCAAGUAUUUGAACUCAGGUUUGCCUACCGAAAGCCUGCACUCUUCCACUCCACUACCCUGCCUGCCAACUUUCAUUCAUCUAUUUGCAAAAUAUUUAUUGAGCACAUAAUAUAUAUCAAGAACUGUUCUAAGUGCCUAAGAUACAUUGGUGAAUGAAGACAAAGUUUCCCGCCCUUACGAAGCUUAGAUUCUAGUGGGAGAAAGGGACAAAGAAACAAUAUAAUUUUAUAUAAAAUUACAUACAUGAUAACAGGUGCCAAGUGCCAGGGAAAAAGGAAAAGGAGAGGAAAUUAAGAGGAAUCAGGGAGCUGGGCAGUGAGGGUGGAAAGAGAUCAUCCCAUUAAAUGUAGGGCGAACAUCAUUGAAAAGGGGUCAUUUGGGUGAGGAGGGAGUGAGCCAAGCAUAUCUCAGGCUAUUCCAGGCAAGUAGAACAGCGGCAGCAAAGGCUUGGAAGCAGGAAUGCACUUGGUGAGUCCCUGGACCAGCAAAGAGGCUAGGAUGGUAGCGAAGAGGGAGCGAGAGACAGAGGAGCAAGAGGUAAAGUCAGAAUGGAAUAGGCCUUGUGGAGG